ACUCGUAGUACGCGACAGGUUGUGAUGUCAAUCGGGGUAUGAGGCGGGGACACGUCCCGCACGUCACUCGCGCUCACUCGCAGCGGGUUAGCCCGGGGGCUGUGCGGGUGUGCGGGGUGUCCCCACUCCGGUUGCCAUCUCAACCUGUCGCGUACUAUACAAUAGUAUGCACAAAACAAGCAGG